AAUUGUGGUCGCAAAGAAUAAACUUAACUUGUAAACAAUUUUUAAAAGCUUCACAAGCCGUCUGUUGAACUUUUAUGAGUUAUAUGCAGAGCAACUAGUUUUUAUACUUGUCAAAAGUUAACAUACACAAAGCAUGGCUAGAUCUUAUGCUUCGUGCGCAUCUACAAAGAUCAGCAAAGGUUGGUGAACAAAUGUUAGCAGCAAUUUACAAAAAAAACGAAAUAACAAUAAUAAUCAUGAUAACAAAAAACAUAUACAAUAACAACAAUAACAACAAACAUCAAUAACAAUGAUAUUAUGAAAAUUAAAGUUUAUUUAUGUGGCAAGUAUUAUGAAGGUUUACUUCCCUUAAUAUUUAUAUGCUUAUUCACAUGCGAUCGUGUUGAUAUUAAAACAAGCAUGUCCAAAGGAUACAAUUGGUUUGCAAAUCUAUUAGCUUUCCAACAAUACAUUACAAUGUAGCUACACAACAAUGUCAUGAAAGGCAUAUGCCACCAAAGUUGAAAUUAAAAAAAUUCAACUCUCCUUUUUAAAAAAUAGAAUUUAAUGAAAAAAAUUACCUUUAAUUGCAAACGGAAGUAAUGUUUAAAAAAUAAAUGAUGAGAAGAGAAAGUUCUACUGCUUACCAAUGCUACUGUUUGCUAUCUUCAAGUACAUCCCUACAACAGACUAACCGUUUAUUUUGCAAGGCUUGUUUUUAAAGUAUUGGAGGACAUUACGUCUCGUUGAAUCUAACCAAACAUGUAAUUAAAUACUAAUUAAAAAAAGUUAAAUUUGAUUAAAUACAGUUUAAUAAUGUCAAUUGGUUUAGUUGUAUUGUUACAAUAUUUUAUCUAAUGCAUAGCUACGUACGUGGGGGAUGCUAUUCUCAAUCCUACACCAUAUAUCGUGAGAAGUGGAGGCCGAUGAGUGUGCGUAAUGUAAGGUUGGUGAUUCACUUGAUGGCGAAUAAAAGGGACAUUAUUAAAUUUAAUGUCCUUUUCUCUCUGAUUUGUGUAGGAUGUUCAUCGCAUUUUGAAAUUUCUUUUUUAUGUUUAUUUUGUAUUCUUUUGUUAUUUUUUUGAUUUUUUAAUCUUGCUUGUUUCUUACCAUUUUCUGUUUUUGUACUGCUUCUACAGGGCUAAUAUAUUUUGGCAUUUUCUCAUGCAAAACAUCAUUUUUUUUUUCUCGAGCAAUAUUACUAUUAAUUCAGAUGACGUAAUGCGUGUUGGGUGGGAAAUGUAAAAAUAAGUAUCAAAAAAUCUAAACCUGAUUAUUAAAUUAAAAAUCUUUUUUUUAAAGAGGGGAGGGGUUGAAAGUGUACAUUUUAGGGAAAAAAGCAAAAAGGCUGCAUGUAAAUAAGCUUCCGAUUAAGUAUUCAAUAACAGUCCUUGAGCCAAAAUGUGUGAAAAUUGAGCAUCUAAAUUAUUGUUCGCAAUUUUAUGGUCAAAACGUCGCUCCCUUUCUAAACUGCGUCGUUUAUUUUUAAAUUAACAUUUAGUAAAACUAACAAGGGCGUAUUCAGUUUUCAACGAACAACAAAUAAAGGUAGCUAAAUGAUGAACAUUUUUAUGCAUGUUUAUGAGACGUUGAAUUCUUCCAUUCACAUACAGUACUUUAUAUUUCCCAACUUUUCAGGCAAAGCAUCACACUUGAUAAAAUUGUAGGUUGGGGAGAGUAUAGUGAACAACUAAACUUGGCUUAGUGACAAAAAAACACAAUAAUUGUGAAUAAAUAAUGGAGAAACAAAAUAAGCAAAUAUGGAACUGGAAAGUAACGAGAAAUAAUAAACGAAGGUAAAAGUUGAAAGAUGAAAAAUAACUUGUUUUGUUUUGUUCAACAAAGUAAUUAGUUCUCAUAUCUGUCACUUCGUUGACUUAUUGUACUAAAUGAUUUCCUAGCAAUUUUAUUUUCCCAAAAACAAGUUAUAUGGGUUACUAAAUAACAACCAUAUUAACCAUAUUGUUUUCUUUCUGUCUGUCUGUGAAUUAUAUGUUGUAGUUGCUUUAAACAUUAAAAAGUGAUUUUUGUUUACUUGACAACUCAUUCUAUACGUUUUCGGUUUGGCGUUGUUUUUUAUGGCUAAACAACUAUAAGUUAAUAAUAUGCACCACUGUUAAUAAACUGAUCAUCAAUUAAUCAGACUCUAAGUCAUAAUUUCAUCGUGUGUAGUUUUUCUGUUCGGGGGAGUAAAAUAAUAAUAUUUAACGAAGUAUUUAGACCCUUUACUAGAAAUAUAGAGAAAUUCUUACACCCUUACAAAGUUGGAUAAUAUUAAAAUCAGUUUUCAUAAUAACAAAAACGCUUUUUUAUGUUUUUGCGUAUAAGUUUAAAUUUUACCAUUUCAUUUAAACUUGCAAUUUAGUGGCAAAGUGUUAACUUGUUCGCGAAGACAUGAAGAAGCUGAUUUUAAUAUUUUCCAGCUUUAUCCUAAAAGUAACUUUCUUCCACUUGCUGCGCGUAAAAAAUAAGAACUUAAACCAACAUCUUAAACAACAAAAGCAACAUUAACACUAAGAGUGAUGAAAUAAAAAAAAGUUUGUAUCACCAAUGGGAAAGCUUAAACAAGACAAGAGCAAUUAAUGUAAUGAUGCAAACAGCCGUGACUCAUCUUCACACCCUUCUAAAAAUCAUACAGUGAACCCACGUUUUAAUUAAAGCGGCGAUAUCGCAUUGAGGUGACGCUUUUAAGUGGUAUGAAAGAUGUUUAAAGUAUGCCAAGAGUAAUUCACUUGAUAUGCUGACUCGGAAGGGAAGCCAAAGCAUAUUUUAAAAGCUUUUGCUUAAUGAAUCGUUAAGUAAAUUGGUCUUAUUAAGUAUGGCAAUAUAUCCAGUGUAUUUUUUAUUUUGCUAAUCAUAUGUUAUCUUAUAGAUUAAAAAAGCUCCCCAGUACUUGAUCAUUGCGUUGGAAAAUGUGUCAAAUUAUUUUCGUCUGUUCACUCACAGCGUCAUGAGGCAUAUAGGCACCACACAUGCGGUGAAGUGUACCUCUGCGUGUUACAAAAUAACAGUGGGCCGUGAUAUGCAACUUAACCACGGAACAGCUUUAAGCAAGCUUAAGUUUAUUAAUUCUAAUGGGACCGCGAACAACAAGAAAAUUAAUUAACUGUUUUUGUCCUGCUAUUUUUAGCGUGUCAUCAUGGUUUUUCAUACGAAUACAAUGAAUGACGUCAAAUUUACCCACGCUGUACUUAUUAUUGUAUUUCCAUGACACCGUAACAGUAAAUGUUAAUCGAACACAUACAAGAUUGAAAUGUUAAUGAGAUAGCUGGAAAUUUGUAUGUUGCCAUGGCGACCUAAAUAAUACACUGAUUCGAUCUGUCGUUUGCGUAACAAUUACUUUGGACAAUUCAAAUAUUUGAGACAGCAAUUAUAAGUUCCAUUAGCUUGUAUUCCUACAUUUUUAAAUGAUUUAACCUACGCGAUUUC